rnacentral:tRNA from 1 species
GACUUUAAGUUAAAUUAAACUAAAGACCUUCAAAGUCUUAAAUGGCUUAUAGCCAAGUCUUG